AUUGAACGCUGGCGGCAUGCCUUACACAUGCAAGUCGAACGGUAACAGGUCUUCGGAUGCUGACGAGUGGCGAACGGGUGAGUAAUACAUCGGAACGUGCCCGAGAGUGGGGGAUAACGAAGCGAAAGCUUUGCUAAUACCGCAUACGAUCUCAGGAUGAAAACAGGGGACCGCAAGGCCUUGCGCUCACGGAGCGGCCGAUGGCAGAUUAGGUAGUUGGUGGGAUAAAAGCUUACCAAGCCGACGAUCUGUAGCUGGUCUGAGAGGACGACCAGCCACACUGGGACUGAGACACGGCCCAGACUCCUACGGGAGGCAGCAGUGGGGAAUUUUGGACAAUGGGCGCAAGCCUGAUCCAGCCAUGCCGCGUGCAGGAUGAAGGCCUUCGGGUUGUAAACUGCUUUUGUACGGAACGAAAAGACUCCUUCUAAUAAAGGGGGUCCAUGACGGUACCGUAAGAAUAAGCACCGGCUAACUACGUGCCAGCAGCCGCUGUAACAC
rnacentral:rRNA from 1 species